rnacentral:rRNA from 1 species
AUUGAACGCUGGCGGCAGGCUUAACACAUGCAAGUCGAGCGGAGAUGAGGUGCUUGCACCUUAUCUUAGCGGCGGACGGGUGAGUAAUGCUUAGGAAUCUGCCUAUUGGUGGGGGACAACAUUCCGAAAGGAAUGCUAAUACCGCAUACGCCCUACGGGGGAAAGCAGGGGAUCUUCGGACCUCGCGCUAAUCGAUGAGCCUAAGUCGGAUUAGCUAGUUGGUGGGGUAAAGGCCUACCAAGGCGACGAUCUGUAGCGGGUCUGAGAGGAUGAUCCGCCACACUGGGACUGAGACACGGCCCAGACUCCUACGGGAGGCAGCAGUGGGGAAUAUUGGACAAUGGGCGGAAGCCUGAUCCAGCCAUGCCGCGUGUGUGAAGAAGGCCUUUUGGUUGUAAAGCACUUUAAGCGAGGAGGAGGCUACCUGGAUUAAUACUCUAGGAUAGUGGACGUUACUCGCAGAAUAAGCACCGGCUAACUCUGUGCCAGCCGCCGCGGUAAUAC